GGCACUAUAGCCAAGUGGUUACGGCGACAGAUUCGAAUACAACCUUAUCUGUUCCUCUUUGAGGGCGCAAGUUCAAAUCUUGCUGGUGUCG